ensembl:lncRNA novel transcript, antisense to ZNF486 and ZNF90
GCUUUUGGCGCGGCCUUUGUCUCUAGCUGCAGCCGGCGUUUCAGGUCUCGUCUUCACUGGUCUGUGUCCUAUUCUCCUGGAGGCCCAGCCUCUGUGGCCCUGUGACCUGCAGGUAUUGGGAGAUCCACAGCUAAAACCCCAGGACACCCUGGAAGCAUAGAAAUGGGACCAUUGCAGUUUAGAGACGUGGCCAUAGAAUUCUCUCUGGAGGAGUGGCAUUGCCUGGACACUGCACAGCGGAAUUUAUAUAGGGAUGUGAAGUUUCAGAACUACAGAAACUUGGUCUUCCUUUAGAUUAUAUUUUCUUCCAUCUUCCGCAUCCUCCUGUUCUUCAGCCAAUAAAUGAAAAAAGAUACAGAGAAGACACAUUUGCUUUUUAUCCACUGCACUUCCACUCACUAUUAGUCAAUGUGGUUACAGCUGAGAAUAGCAGUUUUCUGGCAGGGCAGCCACUUCUCAGCAAUAAACAGCACACUGAAAAAAAAGGAUAAAUCCUUCAUAAAAAGCUAAUGAACUUUUUUUUUCCUGGAA